rnacentral:rRNA from 1 species
UACAGAGGGGGCAAGCGUUGUUCGGAAUUACUGGGCGUAAAGGGCGCGUAGGCGGCACGGCAAGUCGGGAGUGAAAGCCCGGGGCUCAACCCCGGAGGGUCUCUCGAAACUGCCGAGCUAGAGUGCGGAAGAGGCAAUCGGAAUUCCCAGUGUAGCGGUGAAAUGCGUAGAUAUUGGGAAGAACACCGGAGGCGAAGGCGGAUUGCUGGGCCGACACUGACGCUGAGGCGCGAAAGCGUGGGGAGCGAACAGG